AAACAAAAUAACUUACCUUCGUAAGAGAGGAAGGAGUUCCAAAUGCCAUAUAAUUAUUUUCAAGUGCAGCUUUUUGCUUUGCUAUGUUCGAGAUCCAGAUUUGACUCCAGUCCCCAACACACUGAAGGAAGCUUUCCUGGUGCUGUAGUCUUCCACCGUCUCUACUGGUGGAAGCGAACAGGGUUAAGUGCACACAUUACCAUGCGCCAGGACCAGGGUGGAGGCCCCGUGCCCACCUGCAGAGCGGACGCUUCACAACCGGUGAAACAGAUGAGAACACUGAAGUUUGACAAGGUUAAAGCUGCCCAACUGCACAGGCAGAAUAUGAACCCUGGGAGCAGAGAUUAGCACAGUGUGAUGGCAAGAGGUAAUCCAAACUUUCUGAAAUAAAAGACUAAAUCUCA